CCUACGGGUGGCAGCAGUGAGGAAUAUUGGACAAUGGGCGAAAGCCUGAUCCAGCCAUGCCGCGUGUGUGAAGAAGGCCUUCGGGUUGUAAAGCACUUUCAGUGGGGAAGAAAGCCUUGGGGCUAAUACCCUCGAGGAAGGACAUCACCCACAGAAGAAGCACCGGCUAACUCCGUGCCAGCAGCCGCGGUAAUACGGAGGGUGCGAGCGUUAAUCGGAAUUACUGGGCGUAAAGCGCGCGUAGGCGGUCUGAUAAGCCGGUUGUGAAAGCCCCGGGCUCAACCUGGGAACGGCAUCCGGAACUGUCAGGCUAGAGUGCAGGAGAGGAAGGUAGAAUUCCCGGUGUAGCGGUGAAAUGCGUAGAGAUCGGGAGGAAUACCAGUGGCGAAGGCGGCCUUCUGGACUGACACUGACGCUGAGGUGCGAAAGCGUGGGUAGCAAACAGGAUUAGAUACCCGAGUAGUC
rnacentral:rRNA from 1 species